rnacentral:rRNA from 1 species
CUACGGGUUGCAGCAGUGAGGAAUUUUGCGCAAUGGGCGAAAGCCUGACGCAGCAACGCCGCGUGAGUGAUGAAGGCCUUCGGGUCGUAAAGCUCUGUCAAGUGGGAAGAACCUAUAUAAUGCCAACACCAUUAUAUACUGACGGUACCACUGAAGGAAGCACCGGCUAUCUCCGUGCCAGCAGCCGCGGUAAUACGGGGGGUGCAAGCGUUAUUCGGAAUCAUUGGGCGUAAAGGGCACGUAGGCGGCCUGGUCAGUCAGAUGUGAAAGCCCGGGGCUUAACCCGGGAAGUGCAUUUGAUACUGUCAGGCUUGAGUAUGGGAGGGGGAAGUGGAAUUCCUGGUGUAGAGGUGAGAUUCGUAGAUAUCAGGAGGAACACCGGUGGCGAAGGCGACUUCCUGGACUAAUACUGACGCUGAGGUGCGAAGGCAUGGGUAGCAAACAGGAUUAGAUACCCCCGUAGUC